AUUAUUUUGGCAGAUUAGUGCUUUAAAUUUAGAAUUUAAAUAAGUAUUUUAUAUAAUA
rnacentral:tRNA from 1 species